CUCCCGGCGCGGGCAGAAGGCCAAGCACAGUAGGCCUCGACGGCUGGGGAUCUGGAGCCUCGCCUUUGAAGGGCUGUAGGGAUCCCACUUAGCAACUUCACAUUUGAGGUGUUCAAGGGGUGGAGGAUCACACCUAAAUCAGAAGCAAUGCUCAGGACUUCAUUGGAAUGUUCUGCUAGUAGGUUGCUCAGAUGUGUCAGUGCUUUAUGAACCUGUGUGAUACACAUCUCGAGUGAAAAGAGUUCCUUGUACACUGGUUGGUCUCCAGGGAGAAAACCAACAUGUCCAAGGGAUUUGAACUGAUAUUAAACAUCAGCUCGUGAUUUGAUGAGUGGCUGAUUUCUGAAUUCAUACUAGAUGACUCCAGUGGUCACCUGUAAUGUAUAUUCUUGGAAGUGGGAUUAAAACAACCAGUGGGUAAAACUAUACAUCUUCAAUGCUUAUGCUUAUGUUUAAAUAGGAAUCUCACAACUUGUUGAAAGAAGUUUCUCAAGAAAAAACUAUAAUUUAUUUUUAUGUCUGUGUGGAUUAAUUGAAAUAAAAGAGAAUG
rnacentral:lncRNA from 1 species